AGUGCCUUACUGCAAGCACAAAGCUCCAAGCACAGACAUCUUUUAUGAUGAACUAGAGCCUCUGAAGAGGAGAAUCUGAACGUGACGUCAAUAGCUGAUAACUGACGCAGCCUUGCAAAGGAGUCUCAGGCUGGCUCCUUGCAGCCUGCAAGCCCUAAUGAUUCUAUUUUUUCCCCAGUCCCCCCUCGUAGUGAAUUACUAGAACGCAAACACACACACCCCUUUUUUUUCAUAUAUGUAUUUAUAGAUCCUUUAUUCUCCAAACAAAGGAUUUUUUAAGGGGGGGAAAGGCACUGGGUGGGGAGGGGAGAAUUUUAUGAAAAACAACCUUUCUUCGUGCUGGGUGCAAUUCAGUACAUGAAACCACCUCUAUCUCUCGGCAAAGCAAACAUCCCUGCCUGAAAUCCACAUUUGUGCAUGAUGGCAAACUGGUGCAUGGUGGUUGUGUUUUUUCCAAAGCCCACUUUAUAAAGACUCCGGAGGAAGACAGACACAAUAAUGAUUGCAAGGCAACAGGCAGAGAGGCACAGAGACAGACUCAAUACAACUGUGGAUUAGGGGGUUGUGCAAUAGGACAGCAUGGAAGGCGGUCAGUUUGGGUCGUUUGGUGUGGAUUUUGUUUGUUUGUUUUUGUUGUGUGGUGUUUUUUUUCCUCUGCAAUGAUACACCUAAAGCAAAUGUGGAUGGUGUUGCAGAAAGAAGCUAGGGUAGGGGGGUGCGUGGUUGGGGGUUGUUGUGUUGUAGGGGGGCAGACUUAAUGCACAUUUAAUGUUUUGGAUGUAGCGUUCCAGCGAAAUGCCUUUGUGUGUAGAUUUUUUUCCCCAGUACCUGCUAAAAAUAGCAUCAGGGUUUUGAUCGCGUUCCAGAAAUAGACAGAGGGUUGCACUUGUAUAAAAAGCGAGCGCGGGUGGAAGAAAACCUGGACAUCACCGCAGUAUUUUUUUUCCAACUCCUGUCUGGAAAUUAAUUGUUGGAUUCCCCCCCUCCCUUUCCUCGCCCCCUCCCCCUCCCCCCUCCCUCCCCUAACCGAGGAGUUCCCGUUUGGGUGCGGACGCGCCGUCGAGGCCGGAGGCACCGUGGGAGCAGCGAGGGCUGCAGGCAGGGAGCCUGGCACGGCCCCUGUUCUGGACAGAAGGACAGACGUCCGAGGGAAACGAGCAUAACUUCUCAGCUUGGCCACUUUCCAUGUGAUGGAGCAAUGUAGCCGACUUGUGGGUUGACUUAGGCUUGCAUCACCAUCCUGACCCGGGUUGCAUUGGCAGUCAUCUGGAACUGACUACAUGCCUGAACUGAUAAAAGUUGCUGUGGAAAUAUGGAUCUCUGGGGCCUUUGCAAGAUGCUUGUGCCAUGUCCUGUCUCUUUGUUGCCUGAUCCUCUGGAGGACAAAAGAUGAGAAUCAGCAGUGUGUCACUUAUCCUGCAAACAGUUUGAGAACUGCUUUGACAGCCAGUGGAAGAAAACAGUGUGAUGUGGUCACAGCAAGCACGUGUUCUUUCUAACAAUUUACAAUUGCACUAUGAUCCCAUUGAGAGUGAUACUUGAACCUCCCUCUGAUUACCUGUUCUUUUCUCUUGCUGUAACAACAUUGUUUCUUUCCAGCACAGGAGUGUUUAUGCAGAAAUACCAAGAUUCUCUACACAGAUUACAGUAGGUUUACAAAUUAAGGAAAAACUAGUAUGGAACAAUAGGAAAAUAAUCCCAGCAUUUUGCACUUACUUGUAAUCAAAAUCCUGUCUUUGGAGGGUGUUAUGUCAAAUAUACACUUGGUGAGGCCUAUGAGGAUUUUCCUUGUGUAACGGCAAGAGUUAGCCCUAGCAUAUCACACUAUUCUAAAAAUGGUGUCCAGUAAGCUAUAGGUGGCCUCUUGGAAAAAAAUCAGGAAAAAAGUUGGUGAAACUUGGAUCCUCUGCAGUGUCACUUUCACAGUUGAGUGACUGAAAAACAAAAGCAAAGAAAAAAAACCAGUGGGCUAAAUCACCAUGAGGUUGUGGAAUUGAAUAAAAUCCAGCGACGUUCCCUUCUGUUAGGUCUGAUGUAAGUGCUGUAUGGUAAAGACUAAUUUCUAAAAGUCAGCUGUAAACCUAUAGGUCAGCCAAUAAGACAGGGACUUGACACAUUUUUCAUUGUGAAGUGUAUGAUAGUUUCAUGCCUUUAAUCAACGUCACUGCGAACAGUAUAUUGUUGAAUCCAAUGGAGUUGGAAUCCUGCUAUGAAUUUAAUUGUUUUCCACAAGUAGAACAGAAGCCUUUGAUUUCUAUUAAUUAUGUAUCUGCGUGAAAAGCUAUUUUGUGUGUAUAUAUAUUUAAAAACAGGAAAUGUAACACAUAUUUAUUUUUAUUAAACUAAUAAAAGGGAUAAACCUA